rnacentral:rRNA from 1 species
AGAGUUUGAUCCUGGCUCAGGACGAACGCUGGCGGCGUGCUUAACACAUGCAAGUCUACGAGAAAAGAGUAGCAAUAUUCUGAGUAAAGUGGCGCAAGGGUGCGUAACUCGUAAGCAAUCUACCUUUAGAAGGGGAAUAACCCAGCGAAAGCCGGACUAAUACCCCAUAAUGCAGCGGAACCGCAUGGUUAUGUUGUUAAAGUCUAUAUGACGUCUAGAGAUGAGCUUGCGUCUGAUUAGCUAGUUGGUGAGGUAAUGGCUCACCAAGGCGACGAUCGGUAGCUGGUCUGAGAGGAUGAUCAGCCACACUGGUACUUAGACACGGACCAGACUCCUACGGGAGGCAGCAGUGGGGAAUAUUGCGCAAUGGACGAAAGUCUGACGCAGCAACGCCGCGUGGGUGAAGAAGGCCUUCGGGUCGUAAAGCCCUGUCAGGUGGGAAGAAACCUGCGUAAGCAGCUGACGGUACCACCAAAGGAAGCACCGGCUAACUCCGUGCCAGCAGCCGCGGUAAUACGGAGGGUGCAAGCGUUGUUCGGAAUCACUGGGCGUAAAGGGCGCGUAGGCGGCCGAUCAAGUCUGAUGUGAAAGCCCGGGGCUCAACCCCGGAAGUGCAUUGGAAACUGGUCGGCUUGAGUUCGGGAGAGGAGGGCAGAAUUCCCGGUGUAGGGGUGAAAUCCGUAGAGAUCGGGAGGAAAACCAGUGGCGAAGGCGGCCCUCUGGAACGAAACUGACGUUGAGGCGCGAAAGCGUGGGGAGCAAACAGGAUUAGAUACCCUGGUAGUCC